UACGAAGGGGGGUAGCGUUGCUCGGAAUUACUGGGCGUAAAGCGCACGUAGGCGGCUUCUUAAGUCGGUGGUGAAAUCCUGGAGCUCAACUCCAGAACUGCCUUCGAUACUGGGAAGCUCGAGUCCGGGAGAGGUGAGUGGAACUGCGAGUGUAGAGGUGAAAUUCGUAGAUAUUCGCAAGAACACCAGUGGCGAAGGCGGCUCACUGGCCCGGUACUGACGCUGAGGUGCGAAAGCGUGGGGAGCAAACAGG
rnacentral:rRNA from 1 species